CUUCCUUUCUUCCACCAUGUUAAAGAGGACCCGGGAGGACACCGCAAUGGUGAUGGCAUUUUGGGGCUUGGGCUACGAGAGAGGAUUCAAUGCAUCUUAAAAUGACUCCUUCGCACUAAAAGACGCUUUAAUCCUGAACUAUGAAGCGUGUGAACUUGAGCAGCAAGCCCUAUAACGGAACGGAAUGGGAUUGUACUUCAGUGUAAACGUGCGUCUGCACAGUGGCCACCCUGCAGAGAAGGAAGCCCCAGUUUGUAUGGCGCCAAGCUUCAGCACCAUACACACCGGAUAACAAUUGUUUCUCCCUGUUUGAGUCAUUUUUGUAAUUAUUAGACAUUUCUUGAUACAGUACACAGCACCACAUAUGAUUGAAUUGUAUUUU